UGAUAUUAUCGAUUUAAAAUUUAAAUCUUUGAGGCUUGCUAUUCCUUGGCUUUCUGGAUCUUCAAUACCUUCGUCACAAUCUUUUGCUCUUCCACCAAGAUGCCCCAAUGAUUCUCUCCCUGACAGCAUUCCCGGAUAACACUGCACCAUAUGCUCGGUU